UGGAAGGCCAAAAGGGCCAAAACGUGUGAAACCGACGUCUUAACACGUAAUUACGUGUUAACGCGCAAAUGACGUGUUAACGCGUAAUUACGUGUUAACGCGCAAAUGACGUGUUAACGCGUAAUUACGUGUUAACACGUCAUUUGCGAAAUAAAAAACGUGGGACUUUACCACCACCUGGUGGUGUGGUGUACUUGCACAAGCAGAUUAGGAUUGCAAAUGGCAGGAUUUUGUCUAAAAUAAAUCUUUAAAAAUGAACAGUGAGCAUAAAUAGGCUACAACUAUGGCUACACAUAAUAAUUAUAGCAUACAUUUUUUAUUUGUAUUUAUUUUAAUCCUAACACAUGUCUUCAAAUGAAUGAAUGUUGUUGCUCUCAAAACAAUUAACACAGCACAGUAAACACUCUUAUGUUGAUGAAAUUUCAUUAUUCACUGCACUGCAGUUUAUUCUAGUAAUACGUUUAUUAAAAACUAAAUUAUAUCAUCAUAACUACAGGUGUGUUCACUAUUGAUUUUAUAACAUAUUCAUCUAUAGACAUACACUAAUGAAAGUACAUGCUUAUUAUUGUUUUUUAAUGAGUGGUUUUGUUAUAAUCUUUUCCCACUUCCCCCAAAAAUUACAUAGCCUACACAAACAUCCAGCAAAUGUUGUACAGUACUGCAAUCACUAAUGUUUACUCACGAAUUUAAAUCUGCCUAGAGAAUUUCAUCUACAUCAUAGAACAUUCUUAUGCAUUAUGGAGGGAAAAAUCAUUAUGAAUGUUGAAUCCAUGGUUCUUCUCAACAUCUGCAGGCCUCCUUCAUUGUUGUUGUUUUUUUUUUACUCUUUUUUUGUAGUAAACUAUAUUCAUGUUUCUGGUAAAGGUUUGCUCUUGUUUACCUGAUUUUUAAUACUGCUUUCAUGUGCUGGUGUGUGUGUAUACAAGAAAAGAAUUGGUUCUUAUAGAUCUGUUAGUUUUGUGACAGUUUUACUGUUUGAAUUUGUAAUAAACACAUACAACGUGUGGUGUGUAGAUAAAUAAAAUGUAUUACAAAUGUAUUUACAAAUGUAAAACAAAAUUAUUUACAAUAAUAUAAACAAAUAGAAGACGGAAUAAGCAUGUAUGUAUAGGAAACAACUCAAGAAUGUAUUCCAACGAUAUUCUCCAUAGUCUGUUCCCCAUUGUUUUCCUGUGUGUAUCUCUAUAGUCAGCCAGUGUGCUUCAGCCAUCCGUCUGUCCAGCAAUUCACGAUUCCCUCAUCUGUAAGAAAUUACAUUUCAGUAAUUAUCUCCUUUCAUCGAAAGUACCAUUUAAUUGUCAACUCUGAUUUCUGUCAUUACGCCCAGUGCUGUCAAUAAAACAUAAUGUUCACCUAAUUCCAAAUUUAUCUAUUCGGUUUCCUGCAAAAGUGGCUCUUCCGUGUGUGUGCGUCACCCUUUCGUCAAUGUCGUUGACUUUUGAUGAUUGAUGAGGUAAGCUCAGUGUAGUGCUUGGGUCACUAUAUCAUGAAUAAUUUAAAUAAAUAAAGGUGUUGUGUCACGUUGACAUUGCCUGUCGUAACUGUUUGUAAUCCUUCUCAUGACUAAUUAAUAUGGUGAUACGCACGAUUCAGAUCGUUUUAUUAUUAAUGAGAUUGUGAACGAGCACUUACGUAAUGGUUACGAUGUGCUCAAGUCUGGCGCAACUUCCUUUUAACCAAAAACUUUUGGCGGCGAGGAAGAAAGUAGUAGUAGUAGUAUCAUCAGCAGCAGGACAUGGCGCGGAGAGAGUUUCUUACAGACUGCAAUAGGGCAUUUCGGGAGUGUACUCGAUUGGCUCAAACAGACGAUCGGGAUGCUAUAGCAAUAAUAAUUACAAGGUAAGUGAUCUUGUUUUGUGGCACUGGACGCCCAUUAUUUCCCCCAGGGGCGGACAAGGCUAUCGGCAGUACCGGGAGUUUUCCCUGUGGGCCGCUGGACAACGUGGGCCGGCCCUUUGCAAUGUAAAUGUAUGAAUGAAUUGUAGUAAAUAGUCCAUAGGCCCAUCUUUCCGUCAGCACAGACGAAUUGUUCGCGCGGGCGCGGCCCACAAAGACUCUAAUCAGUGUGCUCAGUCUGUCUAAAAGCGCUUAUCAAUGUCAAAAUGUUUGAGAUAACCAAUCAAAUCAAAGGAGGCGGGAUUUACUGUCCACGGAAACCGAGCAGCGCUGCACUAUUUAAUGCUUGUAGAAUGCGAGCCGAGAUAACAUAAGCAGCUGAACAAAACAAUAUAGCCUACAGCAAUGUUUGCCAACUGUUUACGAUAAAUAAUAAUAAUAAACUGUUAAACGACGGGGAUUCAUUUCGAGGACGCACUUCUGACCUUUUCGGAUUGUUAUUCUUCACACAUUGGAUAAAGAAACAUUAACGUAACCUAUAGUGUUCAGCAUGUCAGAUAAAAGUGAAUGUGUGUCUGUUGUCAGGAUUUCUUCAGUAAUUUCACAAUCAUAAAACUCGAAAUAUUCUCAAACUUAAACUGCAUGGCAAAACCAGCAGCUUUCAUAUAACCUAUGUCCCGUAAAGUGUAAAACAUAUAAUUUUCUAAUAGUUCACACGCAUUAUUUUACAGACUGGCGAUCAAAAGUUUGAAAUAAGACUUCUUUAAUGUUUUUGAGGCGGAGAAGUAGGAGGAGGAAGAUAAGUAUUCUCUUGAGAAGGAAUGCAAUGAAGCAUUUUGCCUUUAACAAAUACCCAAACGCCCCUUUCUCCUAGCAUUUUUGUGCGCACAAUGUCCAUCUGUCGUGCUCGCUUGCUCUCAAUAGGCUACUGAGAAUCAUAAGUUAGGAAAGUCUGUCCUUCUCGGGCAGGUUUUUAUUAGUUUCGGUUUAGGAAAAAGGGCUCCACUUAAUAUUAAGUGGCCUUAAUACUAUGUACUUACAUCAAAAAGUAAGUACAAUGUACUUAUUGGGUUCAUAUUGAAUUGAAAAUCACUUUUGCUGCUAUUGAGGUGGGAUGUGGGUAAGGUUAGGUACAGGUUUGGUGGUAUGGGUUUAAGGGUAGGGGUAAGGUGUAAGGGAUGGGUCAACAGUGUUGGUUGGGUUGGUUAAAAAAAGCUUUAGAUCACUCCACAAGCACGCAGCUUAUAGUUGCAUGAGUUCCACUUGGACGUAAAAAGCAAAAUUGUCUUGCUAUUGGAUCCAAACCUUUGAAACGUUGUUUGAGCUGGACCUACUCUGAACCUGUUUAGUCAUAGGAGAGUCACGUCAUAAAAAAGCUUUAGUUAUUUAUUUGUUAGUUAUUUGCGGCUUCCCAUUUCAUUUAGCGAUAUAAAGUUUGGAGUUUUGUUUUUGAAUUUCAUCUCUAUUUAUUUGCUGCUAGCCAACGCAUUUAUCAGAUCCAAAAGCAUUGUUGAGAGGAGUUAUGGAAAAGCACAGACGAAUGAUAUCAUCAAUCGUUGUCGUUAUCAUGAUAGAAACUCGAGAUCAUGUUUGCAAAAAGCUGAUCAAGAACAUAAGGAGGUUGAGUAAAUAAUAAGAUAAUUCUCAUUGUGUAAUGAUAAUAAUAACAAUUUUUAUUUUGUAGUCAGAAAAACUUUUCAAACCGGCUAACUGAUAAACUAUUAUUUUCAAACAAAUGAAUAAGUCUUCAAUUUGUUACAUAGGAGUUCAAAGCGGUUUGUAUCGUUAAUACUUCUCCUUUCACAUUUAGCAGGGAGUGGAGCAGCGUUUUCACAAGCAAAAUUCUGCUGCUGACCCAGAGGAUGGAGUGGAAGUACCAGAUAUCCAUCAGAGAAGAAUUUAUUUCGUUCAGACAUAUCACCUUUGAAUGACUGGGAUCUUGAUCUUCAGACACCUAAUAUUAUGCAAAUAUUUUACUUUCUUUAGCGCUCUAGAUUAAAACAAACACAGCUCAGAAAUAAAUAAGAUGUUGUACUUUACUCCUAUUACUCGAUGCUGAUCUUGGAUAAACAAGAAUUAAGAUAACCCAUCUCUGAGUCCAUGUAAUGCAAAUGAAUAUGUAUUUUAAAAAGGUUACACUUUAAAAACCACACACAGUGACUGUGACAGUUAUCUAUACAACCCCAGUGAAGUAAAACAAUAGGUAACUAUUUACCAUCGCUUCUGACUAACUGCAUGCUACAAUCUACUUGAAUAUGGACUCACAGAGAUUGAUUAUUUUCUUAAAAAGCAGUGUUUAUAUGAAGAAAGUAAUAUAGUACAUCUUGGAUGGCAUGAAAGACUAUUAACAAAGACAUAUAUUGCACUCCCCUACCACAUAUUGUACCCACUGUCACUGUUUUAUUUUUACUGUGACAGUAACUGUUUAAAUGAUCUCUGCAUCAUUAAAAUAAAACAUUUUACACAUA